rnacentral:rRNA from 1 species
GUACACGCUGUGACUAGCAUAUCAAUAAGCGGAGGAAAAGAAACUAACAAGGAUUCCCCUAGUAACGGCGAGUGAAGCGGGAAGAGCUCAAAUUUGAAAUCUUAAAGGGUUUCCCUUUACGAAUUGUAGUUUAAAGAAGUGUUUUCUGUUGAGGUUUUGGUAAAAGUUCUUUGGAAUAGGACAUCAUAGAGGGUGAGAAUCCCGUAUUUGACCUUUACUUUCAACUUUGUGAUACACUUUCAAAGAGUCGGAUUGUUUGGGAAUGCAGUCCAAAAUGGGUGGUAAAUUUCAUCUAAAGCUAAAUAUUGGCGAGAGACCGAUAGCGAACAAGUACCGUGAGGGAAAGAUGAAUAGAACUUUGAAAAGAGAGUUAAACAGUACGUGAAAUUGUCAAAAGGGAAGCGUUUGACACCAGUGUUGUUUUUCUGAAAAUCAAUUAAAGAACUGUUUAUGCUAAGUUGUUUAGACUUUAUCAGCUAACUGUUUAGUUUUGAGCUUUUCUUUAAUGCACUUUUCAGUUAACAAGUCAACAUCAAUUUCUUUUGCUGUAAAAAAGCUUGAGGAAGGUGGCUUGAGAUUCGUCUUAAGUGUUUAUAGCCUCUUGCCUAUGCAGUCGGAGAGAUUGAGGUCUGCAGCGUAGAUCCUUCGGGGCUAAAUGCAUUUGUGCUAAGUUAUAGCAUUUUAUAGACAACUUGUUGACUAUGAUUUGUCUUGUAGCUUACUCGCUUAUGUUAUUUUACCUACGCUAGGAUGUUGACAGCAGUAUAGACUGU